GGCAGUGCCUGAGCUUGGCUCGGCACUACAAAUGCUCUUUCCCAGUCCUGUGUCUCCUAAGCAACCUCUACAUCAAAUACGCAUACUCCAUUAACUCCCAAACGGGCUUGUUAACCAGACCAAACCCUUAACCCAAGUUAAAACAUCAUGCAAAGUGCCUCAAAACCUGCUCAAAAACAAUAAAAACUGACUCUGAAAUGACUCAAAUGCUCGAAAUUUGUCCAAAAGAAGUUACAAUAUUGUGCAAAAUACCUCAAAACAAGAUAAAAACUGACUUGAAAUUCUUUGAAAUGACUAAAAAAAAAAAAUCUAUACAGGUGUAACCAGGUGGUAAACAGAGGCAAGUAAAUAUACUGAAAACCACUGAAAUCCCUGUGUGACUCUUCUGCUGAUUGUUGUUUUGGACAGCAGGGGGCAUAUUGUUAUUGUUGUAUUGGUGGUAGUUUUGAGGUCAAAGGGCAAGAUACUGGAAGUUGUGUUAACAGAACAAAGGGUUACUGGUUAUUGUGGGACAAUAGGAAAUGUAAAUAAUACCGUGCUGUGAAAGACUGAAUUAUGAAAUAUAGUGACAGGGUGGUAAAUUGUUUAUUUGCAUUAAAAAUCCACUUUAUGUCUGUGUACUGUGCUGAGGAGUGCCGACGGUUAGAGAAUGAAAACGCUGCACGUUAUUAAAUAUUAAAAUAUUUGGCCUGCAAGACUAAAAUAUGCAUCAAUCUCAUACAAUGUUGACACCUCUUUUGUGGAGUUAAACAAUGAGAACAAAUGCAGACAAAAAAAAAGAAAAAAAAAAACGCUGCACGUGUGCUGCUGGUGCCAAUGGUUCGUGUGCGAGGUAUGAUACUUCCAGUGUAUCAUCUUACGUUCUUAGUUCCAUGAAAUAUGAAUGUAUUAUUAUAUGCAUUGUAUUUUUGUGUUGGUUAAUGAUGAGAUGUUUGUAACUGCUUUUGUGUUACUGCAGUAUGUGUUUCGAACAGAGGCUUAUACAAGGCAGUGUGCAUUAAAACUUUGUCUGCAGAGAGAAAAGAACGACUCCAUUUUUUGCCAGACUGGAGGGGGUUGGAGAGAGUCUGUCGAUCUCUCUGGACCUGACAUUUGAAAACCUCCACCUCUCCUCACCCUCCCAGCCCACUGAUGUGAGGAAAUCCAGCUCUGAACAGACUGAACUUCUAAAUCCCUCCUGGAACUUCACCCUGAACAGACAACUGCAACACCGUGGUAACUUGCAGAUUACAGUAACUCCUCUUGCUCUUCCUCUCGCCGGACCUCCUUCAGCUCCUCUUCUCACGGGCCUCCUCCUCCUCCUCGUCUCACCGGUUCUCGCCCACCAUGAAUUCAACUUUUGAUCUGUUGCUGGUGGUGCUGCUGGUGGUGGUGCUGCUGCUGGUGGUGGUGGUGGUGCUGCUGCUGCUGCUGGUGCUGCUACUGCUGGUGCUGCUGCUGCUGGAGGUUUCAUACACCAUGUUAUUGUCUAUUUACGCACAAACAGACACGGGAACGCUUGAUGUAGAGAGUGCCAGCCAAAAGAAGCUCUACACCACUCUGAAAGGGAAGUUUCACAGUUUGUAUGAAGGAGGAGUUGCUGAAGCGGGAAAGCCAACACCUAACCUCUGAAUGACUCAGUGUCUACACAGAGCUGUGCAGGCAGGCAGGGAGGGAGGGAGGGAGUUUUAGGGAGGGAGAAGUCAUAGUUUUCAGUUUGCCGGUUUUUAGUUAUUGUUGGUCAUUUUCAGUCACUCUUGUCAGUGACUGUGAUAAUUUGCUGUCACUCACUGGCUUUCACUUUUUUCUUUUUUUCCCCUUUUUUGUGUCAUUUUUAUUUAUUAUUUAUUAUCAUUUAAUUAUUAUUUAUUCAUUUAUUAUUUAUUGAUUUAUCUUUUAUUAUUUUUUAUUUUUUAAAUUUUAAACACUUCUAAGUCAUAUUUGCACAUUUUGAUUGCUAGGUGACGCUCAAUCAGUUGGUUUUAGCUGUUGACUGUAGACUUAACUAAAAAAUAAAUAGAGAGAGAUAGAGAGAGAUAGAGAUAGAGAUAGAUAGAUAGAUAGAUAGAUAGAUAGAUAGAUAGAUAGAUAGAUAGAUAGAUAGAUAGAUAGAUAGAUAGAUAUAGGUAGCAGCUUGUUUCUGGAUCCAGUUCAUGGCUCACGUCAUUGGGGCGAACCACAUAGCCCUGAGCUAGUUAGCUGGUGAACCCUGUGCUGUCGCUGUGAGUCUGAGCUUUGAUGUGCCUGGUCACAUUCCCAGGCAAAGUGCGGCUGUCGUGUGUCGGUAACUUAUUUAUAAUAGAUUUUUGCUUGAGUUUCUCUGAGAGGAUUUAUGCAUUGUCAGGGUUAGGCCAGCCAGCCGGUAUUUAGGCUUAGAUGGAGUUUACCGCUGUACUGCACUGUGUGGCUUCACAGAUAAGUUCAUCGUGGAGUUGCAGGACAAAGUAGGCUCCUCUGACCUGAGACGUCCUGUAUUUAGCCUUAGAUGGAGUUUCCCACACGCUUUUGGGCUGCAUUCCCACACAACUCGACUGCAGUUAUUACGAGCUGGUGUGUUGGUGGUGUGUUGGUGCUGCUGGUGCAGCAGUUAUAAAUAAUAAAUAAAUAGAUAUAUAAAUAGAUACAUACAUAGAUAAAUAGAUACGUACAUAGAUAGAUACGUACAUAGAUAAAUAGAUACAUACAUAGAUAAAUAAAUACAUACAUAAAUAAAUAGAUACAUACAUAGAUAAAUAGAUACAUACAGAGAUAAAUAAAUACAUAGAGAUAAAUAAAUAAAUACAUAAAUACAUAGAUAAAUAAAUACAUAUAUAGAUAAAUAAAUACAUAAAUAAAUACAUUUAGGUAGCAGUUUGUUUCUGGAUGUUAUUUAUUAAUUUUUUUGGGUGAGCUUCUCUGACUCUUGACUUUGUCCAUGUCACAGUGGUAGUUCUCUGAUGCAGGAGUGAACCCCUCCUGUAUAUAUAUCUAUAUAAAUGCAUAUCUAUAUACAUGUAUCUCUAUGUACAUGCAUAUCUAUAUACAUGCAUCUCUAUGUACAUGCAUAUCUAUAUACAUGCAUAUCUAUGUACAUGCAUAUCUAUAUACAUGCAUAUCUAUAUACAUUUGAGGGUUGUGGGGUUGGGGAUAAGUUAAACAUAAGCCAGUGCCAAAAUAGACAAAAUGCAUGAAUAUAGCUUUAAAAUAAAUAAAAAUAUAUGAAAUAGCUCACGCAUGCAGCUCACCUUACACAGCUAUGUUUUUGCAGCUGGACUGAUUGAGUCACACACGUUUUCCAGAUGAUACACAUUGAUGUGUUCAAUUCAUAAACUGAUGACAAUUUGUUUUUGCUGUGCUUGUUGUUGUUGUUGUUGUUGUUUUUGUUUUCUUGUAACUCCUCUUGCUCAUCCUCUCACCGCACCUCCUUCUGCUCCUCUUCUUACGGGUCGCCACCGGACUUCCUUCUGCUCCUCUUCUCACGGGCCGCCGCCGCCUCCUCCUCCUCCUCCUCGUCCUCUCAGCGGUCCUCAUUCACCAUGAAUUCAAUCUUUGAUCUGCUGCUGCUGCUGCUUCCUCCUCCUAAACCUGCGGACCAAGAAGCGGCUCUCCGGGGUCAAGGAGCUGAUCUCGGCCCGCGCCCACUGCGAGGUGGCCCGGGGAACAGACGUCGACAACCCUGGCUGACAGUGUGGUCAAGGUCAUGUACUGUAUGUGCAAUGUUUGAGGCACAGUACUCGUCUCAGCACAAGUACUCUGACCCGCUACACGGAUGACCUUUUCUGGAAGGUCAUCCAUGUAGUGGUGCCAGCCCCUCCUGGAUGUAUAGAGAACCUAGAUAGGUCAUAUGCACAAGUCAUGGCAAGUCAUGACAAGUCAUAUGUCAAUGCAACAAUAAGUCAUAUGUCAUGCAUUCUUACAUAUUAUUACUAUUAUUAUAUUGUUAAUACUGUUAACUAAAAACUAAGCUCACUUGCUUUUAUUGCUUUUAUUGCUUUUAUUUAUUUUUAUUAUUAUUUUUUUUUCUCUCCUUCACCCCCAUCGCCUCAGUGUCUUCUUCCGAUUCUGAAUUGGGUCCUCUGACCCACAAGUCCAAACGUGGCAUCAAUGUGAUGACGUCAUGCCUUGCCUUGAGGCAGGACUUAGGAUUUGUCCACCUCUCGCGAACAGCGAUGCUGAUAUCCAUCAGGACUGGCUGUGGGUUUCUCCCUGAGGACCUCAGCUCUGGCCUCCUUCUCAAACAGGGCGGCAGGAGACAGCGGUGUCCUCAUGGCACGGUUGCUGAUCGGGUCGUAGGCCGUUGGAGGAGCCCACUUCUGUGUAAUAACAUUGAAUGUCUUUUUGCUAGUGCAUUUAACAAGUUUUUCGUCAUGUUACCUUCUGCUGUCAUCACGGCUAUUAGUUGCUCUUAUGUGACCUGUUUGUGCAUUUAUCAAGUGUUUAAUCAUGAUAUCAUGUUUCCUUUUGCUUUCAUCACGGAUAUUAGUCGCUCUUAUGUGACCUGCUUGUGCAUUUAUCAAGUGUUUAAUCAUGACAUCAUGUUUCCUUUUGCUUUCAUCACGGAUAUUAGUCGCUCUUAUGUGACCUGCUUGUGCAUUUAUCAAGUGUUUAAUCAUGACAUCAUGUUUCCUUUUGCUUUCAUCACGGAUAUUAGUCGCUCUUAUGUGACCUGCUUGUGCAUUUAUCAAGUGUUUAAUCAUGACAUCAUGUUUCCUUUUGCUUUCAUCACGGAUAUUAGUCGCUCUUAUGUGACCUGCUUGUGCAUUUAUCAAGUGUUUAAUCAUGACAUCAUGUUUCCUUUUGCUUUCAUCACGGAUAUUAGUCGCUCUUAUGUGACCUGCUUGUGCAUUUAUCAAGUGUUUAAUCAUGACAUCAUGUUUCCUUUUGCUUUCAUCACGGAUAUUAGUCGCUCUUAUGUGACUUGCUUGUGCAUU